ACAGACAGAGUCAAUAACAAGGCUUGGUAUUUUCAAGCACUGGCUUUUUCCGGUACCACUAGAAACAGCUCUAAUUUGAGCUCCAAAGCACACUGGGUUAGGAAGAGCAAGAAAUAAAAGACAAUACCGCAAUGCCAAAUUCCAUUCUAUAUACAUGGAAGCAUUCGCCUGACUCAACAAACUACAUUCUCCCUGGAAGUUGAAGUCCCUAUAACAGACUUUUCAAUCCUGACAUUUAUGAAAAUCACCUCUUUUGUCUUUUCACUUUUACCACCCAAUUGAGCAUUCCUGAAGACUGAUUUAGUUUUGCUUAUUUUAUAAUUUUAUAUAAUUGGAAUCAUAGAACAUGCAUUCUUUAUGACUGGCCUCUGUCGCUCAAUGUUGUAUUCGUGAGAUGUAAACAUAUUGUGAGAUGCAGCUGCCUGCUUCUUUUCACCGUUCUAUAAUAUUCCAUUGUGUAAAUUAACUACUUUCAUCCAUUCUCUUGUUAGAAGACACUUGUGUCUUUCUGGUUUGAGGCAAUUAUGAAUAUUGUUAACUUAAUGAACAUUACUGUACAUCUCUUUUGGUUCAUAAAUAAACAUAAGUCUAGGAGAAGUAUUUGGUCAGAGUAUGCACAUCAUUAACACUAUAAGGUAUGACAACCCCUGCCGUCUCAUGUGUUCAUAAAUGCUGUUUUGUCAUUCUUCUUCUUUAAUGUUUAUUUUGAGAGAGACAGAAAGAGUGUGAGCAGGGGAGGGGCAGAGAGAGAAGGAAAGAGAGAAUCUCAAGCAGGCUCUGCACACACAGUGUGGAGCCUUAUGCAGGGCUCGAACCCACAAACCAUGAGAUCAUGACCUGAGCUGAAACCAAGAGUUGAACACUUAACCGACUGAGCCACCAGGUGCCCCUUGUCAUUCUUCUUAAUGUUUUUAUUUUAUUUUGAGAGAGAGAGAAAGCGAGUGAGCAUGAGUGGGGAAGGGCAGAGAGAGAGGGAGAACACAGAAUCUGAAGGAGGCUCCAGGCUCUGAGAUGUCUGCCCAGAGCCCUACACAGAACUUGAAUUCAUGAACUGUGAGAACACGACCUGAGCCACAGUCAGACGCUUAAGGGACUGAACCACCCAUGUGCCCCUUUGUCAUUCUUUUUGAGUCUAGUUGGUAUCUAGUGGAAUCUUAUUGUGGUUUCAAAUUUGCUCAUACCUGAUGAUUAAUGAAGCUCAACAUUUUAACAUA